GGUUAAGCGACUAAGCGUACACGGUGGAUGCCUAGGCAAUCAGAGGCGAUGAAGGACGUGCUAAUCUGCGAUAAGCGUCGGUAAGGUGAUAUGAACCGUUACAACCGACGAUUUCCGAAUGGGGAAACCCAGUGCAAUUCGUUGCACUAUCGUUUGAUGAAUAUAUAGUCAAACGAAGCGAACCGGGGGAACUGAAACAUCUCAGUACCCCGAGGAAAAGAAAUCAACCGAGAUUCCCCUAGUAGCGGCGAGCGAACGGGGAGCAGCCCAGAGUCUUAAUCAGCAUUAGCAUCAGGAGAACGGUCUGGAAAGUCCGGCAGUAAAGGGUGAUAGCCCCGUAUCCGAAGGUGUUAGUGUUGUGAACUCGACGAGUAGGGCGGGACACGUGUUAUCCUGUCUGAAUAUGGGGGGACCAUCCUCCAAGGCUAAAUACUCCUGAUUGACCGAUAGUGAACCAGUACCGUGAGGGAAAGGCGAAAAGAACCCCGGCGAGGGGAGUGAAAUAGAACCUGAAACCGUGUACGUACAAGCAGUGGGAGCCUUGAUUUAUCAGGGUGACUGCGUACCUUUUGUAUAAUGGGUCAGCGACUUAUAUUCUGUAGCAAGGUUAACCGUAUAGGGGAGCCGUAGGGAAACCGAGUCUUAACUGGGCGAAUAAGUUGCAGGGUAUAGACCCGAAACCCGGUGAUCUAGCCAUGGGCAGGUUGAAGGUUGGGUAACACUAACUGGAGGACCGAACCGACUAAUGUUGAAAAAUUAGCGGAUGACUUGUGGCUGGGGGUGAAAGGCCAAUCAAACCGGGAGAUAGCUGGUUCUCCCCGAAAGCUAUUUAGGUAGCGCCUCGUGAACUCAUCUUCGGGGGUAGAGCACUGUUUCGACUAGGGGGUCAUCCCGACUUACCAACUCGAUGCAAACUACGAAUACCGAAGAAUGUUAUCACGGGAGACACACGGCGGGUGCUAACGUUCGUCGUGAAGAGGGAAACAACCCAGACCGCCAGCUAAGGUCCCAAAGUCAUAGUUAAGUGGGAAACGAAGUGGGAAGGCUCAGACAGCCAGGAUGUUGGCUUAGAAGCAGCCAUCAUUUAAAGAAAGCGUAAUAGCUCACUGGUCGAGUCGGCCUGCGCGGAAGAUGUAACGGGGCUAAACUAUGCACCGAAGCUGCGGCAGCGAUAUGUAAAUAUUGUUGGGUAGGGGAGCGUUCUGUAAGCCUGUGAAGGUGUGCUGUGAGGCAUGCUGGAGGUAUCAGAAGUGCGAAUGCUGACAUAAGUAACGAUAAUGCGGGUGAAAAACCCGCACGCCGGAAGACCAAGGGUUCCUGUCCAACGUUAAUCGGGGCAGGGUGAGUCGACCCCUAAGGCGAGGCAGAAAUGCGUAGUCGAUGGGAAACGGGUUAAUAUUCCCGUACUGGUGAUAAUUGCGAUGGGGGGACGGAGAAGGCUAGGCUAUCCGGGCGACGGUUGUCCCGGUUUAAGGAUGUAGGCAGGUGAAUUAGGCAAAUCCGGUUCACUACAUGCUGAGGUCCGAUGACGAGUCACUACGGUGAUGAAGUAGCUCAUGCCCCGCUUCCAGGAAAAGCCUCUAAGCUCUAGAUUAUCAUUAAUCGUACCCCAAACCGACACAGGUGGUCAGGUAGAGAAUACUCAGGCGCUUGAGAGAACUCGGGUGAAGGAACUAGGCAAAAUGGUGCCGUAACUUCGGGAGAAGGCACGCUGGCAUUAGGUGAAGUGGUUUACCCAUGGAGCUGAAGCCAGUCGCAGAUACCAGCUGGCUGCAACUGUUUAUUAAAAACACAGCACUGUGCAAACACGAAAGUGGACGUAUACGGUGUGACGCCUGCCCGGUGCUGGAAGGUUAAUUGAUGGGGUUAUCCGUAAGGAGAAGCUCUUGAUCGAAGCCCCAGUAAACGGCGGCCGUAACUAUAACGGUCCUAAGGUAGCGAAAUUCCUUGUCGGGUAAGUUCCGACCUGCACGAAUGGCGUAAUGAUGGCCAGGCUGUCUCCACCCGAGACUCAGUGAAAUUGAACUCGCUGUGAAGAUGCAGUGUACCCGCGGCAAGACGGAAAGACCCCGUGAACCUUUACUAUAGCUUGACACUGAACAUUGAGCCUUGAUGUGUAGGAUAGGUGGGAGGCUUUGAAGCGUGGACGCCAGUCUGCGUGGAGCCAACCUUGAAAUACCACCCUUUAAUGUUUGAUGUUCUAACGUUGCCCCAUUAUCUGGGGUGCGGACAGUGUCUGGUGGGUAGUUUGACUGGGGCGGUCUCCUCCCAAAGAGUAACGGAGGAGCACGAAGGUUGGCUAAGCAUGGUCGGACAUCAUGCGGUUAGUGCAAAGGCAUAAGCCAGCUUGACUGCGAGAGUGACGGCUCGAGCAGGUACGAAAGUAGGUCUUAGUGAUCCGGUGGUUCUGAAUGGAAGGGCCAUCGCUCAACGGAUAAAAGGUACUCCGGGGAUAACAGGCUGAUACCGCCCAAGAGUUCAUAUCGACGGCGGUGUUUGGCACCUCGAUGUCGGCUCAUCACAUCCUGGGGCUGAAGUAGGUCCCAAGGGUACGGCUGUUCGCCGUUUAAAGUGGUACGCGAGCUGGGUUUAGAACGUCGUGAGACAGUUCGGUCCCUAUCUGCCGUGGGCGUUGGAAGAUUGAAAGGGGCUGCUCCUAGUACGAGAGGACCGGAGUGGACGCACCACUGGUGUUCGGGUUGUCAUGCCAAUGGCAUUGCCCGGUAGCUAAGUGCGGAAGAGAUAACCGCUGAAAGCAUCUAAGCGGGAAACUUGCCUUGAGAUGAGUCUUCCCUGACCCUUUAAGGGUCCUAAAGGAACGUUUAAGACUAAGACGUUGAUAGGUUGGGUGUGUAAGCGUAGCGAUACGUUGAGCUAACCAAUACUAAUGAACCGUGAGGCUUAACCUG
rnacentral:rRNA from 1 species